AAACGACUCUCGGCAACGGAUAUCUCGGCUCACGCAUCGAUGAAGAACGUAGCAAAAUGCGAUACUUGGUGUGAAUUGCAGAAUCCCGUGAACCAUCGAGUUUUUGAACGCAAGUUGCGCCCGAAGCCUUGGCUAAGGGCACGUCUGCCUGGGCGUCACGU
rnacentral:rRNA from 1 species